rnacentral:rRNA from 1 species
AUUUGACGUUAGCGACAGAAGAAGCACCGGCUAACUCCGUGCCAGCAGCCGCGGUAAUACGGAGGGUGCGAGCGUUAAUCGGAAUUACUGGGCGUAAAGCGCAUGCAGGUGGUUUGUUAAGUCAGAUGUGAAAGACCCGGGGCGUCAACCUCGGAAUAGCAUUUGAAACUGGCAGACUAGAGUACUGUAGAGGGGGUAGGAAUUUCAGGUGUAGCGGUGAAAUGCGUAGAGAUCUGAAGGAAUACCGGUGGCGAAGGCGGCCCCCUCGGACAGAUACUGACACUCAGAUGCGAAAGCGUGGGGAGCAAACAGGAUUAGAUACCCUGGUAG